GGCGGCAUAGCCAAGUGGUAAGGCAGAGGUCUGCAAAACCUCGAUUCCCCGGUUCAAAUCCGGGUGCCGCCU
rnacentral:tRNA from 1 species